rnacentral:lncRNA from 1 species
CCCUUUUCAUUAUCUUCCUAGGAAAACAGUUACCCAUAGGAGCCCAGAACCUUGCCUAGAGUCACCCUGCCAGCAAGUGGCAGAGCUGCGAUUUGAAUCUGGGGCUUAUGCAUCUGAUUCUGCUGAGGAUGUCAAAUUACCAGGCUUUGGUCUAAGCAGAAGUCAGGGGACAGCAGUGAAAAGAGCACGGUUCCACACCUUGAUGCCGUCUCUCACUUUCCCUCUGUGUGACCUUGGGGCAUCCUGGUAUUGGAGAGAAGGACUCAGGCCCCAGAAAUGAAGCAAAAACAGCCCAAUUUCC